UUCUAAUUCAAUAUCAAAUUUUACAUCUUCAUUUAUAUUAUUUAUAGUUUUUAAUAUUAUUGUAUCACUCUUUAUUUUGUUAUUAUAAAUUAAUAAAUAAUCAUCAACAUAUCUCAUCACCAUUUUAACCCCAGGGAUAUUUUGUAUUUUUUCAUCUAUAUUUUUCACAACCAAUUCAGCAACUUUUGGUCCCAUCUUUGACCCCAUACUGACACCAUCUAUUUCUUGUAGUCCGAAAUGCAUAUGUCAAAACAAUAAAAGAAGUAUCUAACCUGAAAGCUGUAUUGAUAGUCUACCGAACUGAAUUGAUCGGAUUAAAGAGACACAUUCACAACGAAAUAGCAGCUACCAUAAGUGAUAUUUAUAAUAAUUCAAUUCUAUACCCUAUUAGUCUGUAUGUAAAUCCACCCCUGCGUAUAGAGGACAGGCGGGCAUUUUAUUACAUACUUAUAUAAAUAAUAAAGUUGAAAUAAAUAAAUACACAAAAACGGCAGUAUUUUGCGCCAUUUUUCUGUAUUUAAUUACAAGUAAACAAAUUCCGACUUUCAAUAGUGUAUAUGUAGGUCAUAUUGAAAGUCAUGAGCAACAAUUUAUUAAUUACGAAAAACUAAGAACAUUGUCAUAACCUAUAGACUAUGAGCAGUGCCAGCAGUUGUGAUAUCAUUAGUGUCCAUCACGUGACCAUAGACAGCCAGUAAAAAAUGGCUGCAACUGAUGUUUGUUUCGUCAGCGUGCUGUACUUGAAUUUCUUGUAGUAUGACACCACAAUGAGGGGAAAAGUUUGGAAGAAAUAGGAGAUAUGUUCAACAUUUCCACACGAGCUGUCCAGUGCAUUAUAAAAUUAUCCUGGGACGCUGGUUCCGUGUCACCGGGGAAAGCGAUGGGCCAUGAACGUCAGAUGACGGAAGCGGAGGAUGCUCGCCUGCAGCCAGGAGAACCCAUUCAAGACGGUAGCAACACUCCAAAGGGAUUUAAACGUAUCGACGCGUACUGUAAGAAGAAGGUUACGAUAAGGUAAUUUGUUUGGGCGGAGGGCAGCCAUAAAACAGGUGUUGACAAUAGCAAACCAAUAAGAUUGUCUGGGGUUUGCCAAAGUGUAUCUCCGAUGGACCACAAAUGAUUGGUCAUCGGUGAUAUUUACUGAUGAGAAAAUAUUUUCCUCAGACUCCAGCGGGCCUGUGUGGGUCUUCGCCCACCAUCUACUAGCUAUAACCCUGAAUAUGUGUGGCGCACCCAAAGAAGUGGGCAUUUUUCGAUUGAUGUAUGGGGAUGGAUGACCUCUGCUGGACCCGUGGGGUUGGUCUGCGUAGAUGGUCACCUCACUGUUGUGCAAUACAUCAAAAUCCUCGAGCAGGUGUUGUUGCUGACGGUGAGGGCCGUCUAUGGAGAACACGACAGCUUCCCUGUACACACAGCCAACAUGUGUGUAGACAGUGGAUAGAUGAGCAUCCACAAAUUAUCGACAUGGGAUGGCUGGGGAGGGGAGCAGACCUCAAUCCCAUUGAACAAUUGUAAUAUAAUAUAUAAUAUAAUUAACCCAUUGAACAUGUUUGGGCCGAGCUCUGUUGCGACCCCGUUCAGGUGACAAAUCCCAACGACCUCUGGGAAAUUGUCAGCGGUUGUUGGGAAAAGUUUCAUGAGGGCGUACUCUGCCAAAAUCUUGUGGCAAGUGUGCCUCAACGACUGAAUGAGGUCGUGGACAAGGUACUUGAUCCUCUCCCCUCCAUCUGCGAUGUUUAAACUUGUCAUUUUACCAGACAUUUUGUAAAUAAGUUUUUGUAAAUACGUAUUGUAAAUAGUUUUUUGUAAAUAAAUG